rnacentral:sRNA from 1 species
ACAUUACACAAAUAUGAAGGCGGGCUGGAACCUCUCGGGGUUACAGCCUUGCUGAAUUAUUCACCCUUGUCUUUUGCGUACUUCUUGUUUCCUUGGUGGGUUCGCCCACCACUAGGACAACCAUAAACCUUUUGUAAUUGCAAUCAGCGUCAGUAACAAAUUAAUAAUUACAACUUUCAACAACGGAUCUCUUGGUUCUGGCAUCGAUGAAGAACGCAGCGAAAUGCGAUAAGUAGUGUGAAUUGCAGAAUUCAGUGAAUCAUCGAAUCUUUGAACGCACAUUGCGCCCUUUGGUAUUCCAAAGGGCAUGCCUGUUCGAGCGUCAUUUGUACCCUCAAGCUUUGCUUGGUGUUGGGCGUCUUGUCUCUAGCUUUGCUGGAGACUCGCCUUAAAGUAAUUGGCAGCCGGCCUACUGGUUUCGGAGCGCAGCACAAGUCGCACUCUCUAUCAGCAAAGGUCUAGCAUCCAUUAAGCCUUUUUUUCAACUUUUGACCUCGGAUCAGGUAGGGAUACCCGCUGAACUUAAGCAUAUCAAUAAGCGGAGGAAAAAAACC